rnacentral:rRNA from 1 species
AGAGUUUGAUCCUGGCUCAGGAUGAACGCUAGCGGCAGGCUUAACACAUGCAAGUCGAGGGGCAUCGGGAGGGAAGCUUGCUUUCCUUGCCGGCGACCGGCGCACGGGUGAGUAACACGUAUGCAACCUGCCCUCUUCAGGGGGACAACCUUCCGAAAGGGAGGCUAAUCCCGCGUAUAUCGGUUUCGGGCAUCCGAGAUCGAGGAAAGAUUCAUCGGAAGAGGAUGGGCAUGCGGCGCAUUAGCUAGACGGCGGGGUAACGGCCCACCGUGGCGACGAUGCGUAGGGGUUCUGAGAGGAAGGUCCCCCACACUGGUACUGAGACACGGACCAGACUCCUACGGGAGGCAGCAGUGAGGAAUAUUGGUCAAUGGGAGAGAUCCUGAACCAGCCAAGCCGCGUGAGGGAAGACGGCCCUAUGGGUUGUAAACCUCUUUUGUCGGAGAACAAAACCCGGGACGAGUCCCGGACUGCGUGUAUCCGAAGAAAAAGCAUCGGCUAACUCCGUGCCAGCAGCCGCGGUAAUACGGAGGAUGCGGGCGUUAUCCGGAUUUAUUGGGUUUAAAGGGUGCGUAGGCGGUCCGUUAAGUCAGCGGUAAAAUUGCGGGGCUCAACCCCGUCGAGCCGUUGAAACUGGCAGACUUGAGUUGGCGAGAAGUACGCGGAAUGCGCGGUGUAGCGGUGAAAUGCAUAGAUAUCGCGCAGAACUCCGAUUGCGAAGGCAGUGUACCGGCGCCAGACUGACGCUGAGGCACGAAAGCGUGGGGAUCGAACAAAAUUAGAUACCCUGGUAGUCCACGCAGUAAACGAUCAAUGAUGGUUGUCCGGGUAGAAGGAGACCUGGGGCGAGGAAGCAAAAAGCGAUAAAGCAUUUCCACCUGGGGAGUACGCCGGCAACGGUGAAACUCAAAGGAAUUGACGGGGGCCCGCACAAGCGGAGGAACAUGUGGUUUAAUUCGAUGAUACGCGAGGAACCUUACCCGGGCUCAAACGGGAGUGGAAUGGACCAGAGACGGUUCAGCCUACGGGCCGCUUCCGAGGUGCUGCAUGGUUGUCGUCAGCUCGUGCCGUGAGGUGUCGGCUUAAGUGCCAUAACGAGCGCAACCCCCGCCGGCAGUUGCUAACGGGCAAUGCCGAGGACUCUGCCGGGACUGCCGCCGCAAGGCGUGAGGAAGGCGGGGAUGACGUCAAAUCAGCACGGCCCUUACGUCCGGGGCGACACACGUGUUACAAUGGGCGGUACAGCGGGAAGCCAGGCGGCGACGCCGAGCGGAACCCGAAAGCCGUUCUCAGUUCGGAUCGGAGUCUGCAACCCGACUCCGUGAAGCUGGAUUCGCUAGUAAUCGCGCAUCAGCCAUGGCGCGGUGAAUACGUUCCCGGGCCUUGUACACACCGCCCGUCA